UUUGGGGGGUCCAAAGACUUUGACACGUGCCUGAUAAUUUGGACGCAAGCAUACCAAAUCCAAUUGACUUUAUCCUUUAAAGCUCAUAAAAAAUGACGAUAAAUGUGCUGCACAAUAAAUAAAACAUGGAACAAUUCACAAGAUAAAAAGGUCAGUUUCUUUUGUGACCAGCGAAGACUAUGUUCUUCUUCUUUGUCCUCUCUAAAUGAGUGGUUUUCAGAUGGACCCUCAUCCAGUACAAAAACACGAAUGUUUCAAGUUUGUCCAUUCUAAUAAUAAUAAUAAUAAUACAUUUGAUUUAUAACCUGCUUUACAUCUGAGAAAACAGACCUCAAAGUGCACACAGUAAAAACAACAACAGUCAGAAUAUGAAAUCGGCUUUUUGGGGCUGCAGUCACUCAGGAGGUAGAGCGGUCGUCCAAUAACUGGAAGGUUGGCGGUUCGAUUCCCCCCUAUCCUGAGUCUGUCCGUUGGGCAAGACACUUGACCCACCUUGCUCCCAGUAUGUGUCCUCCACUAGUGUAUGAUUGUGAGUGUGUUGUGUGGUGGUGGUUGGAGAGGCCAUAGGCGCAAACUGACAGCCAUGUUUCCGUCAGUCUACCCCAGGGCAGCUGUGACUUCUAAGGUAGUUGACCACCACCAAGGUGUGACUGUGUGAGUGAAUUAAUGAUGUAUCCAUGUAAAGCGCUUUGAGGGUCUCUGAUAAAGCCCUAUAUGAAAUCUGAUGAAUAGUUUUCUAAAAGGAAAACUUUAAAGCAUCCACCAUCUGUGGAGCUCUGAGGUGAUCAAGAAGGGCGCUCCACAGAUGUGGAAGUGCAACCUCAAAGGCCAUGUCGCCUAUGAUCUUGAGCCGAGUCCUGGGUGGGUGCAGAUGGUGCAAUUGGCCUGACCGGGUUCUGGCUGAGGUGUGUGGGGUGAGGAGUUAGGUGAGGUAUGUAGGGGCUGCACCGUGAAGACAGUGAUGGGCGUAUGAAAACAUUGUGGUGCAGAAACAUGGUUUCAGUGUAGAGACAUGGUGGUGCAUGAUAGCUUAUGUAAUGUGCUUUCAGAUCACAAGGUGGCGAGCUUGCACAGCAGAGCCAGCCUGUGAGUCGACAGCUCUCCCUGCAAACACACAACUUGACCAUGAGAACAGCCCCCUCUUGUGGCAGCCUGGACACGAGGCUGCGUCUUGAGAUGCAGCAUUUUUUUUCAUCAAGUUUCAAGUUCAUGAGGUUUGUCUUGUUCUAACAAAAGAAAAUCAUUCCCAAAGAGCUUCUUAUAGACAGGCAGAUUGAUUGUAUACUGCAAUACUAAUAUUCCACGCUCCUCAUUAUCCCACAACUGAAGCAGCACAGUAAUCGCCGCUGGGGAAAACGUUGAAAAUUACAAAAAAAAAAAAAAGACAGAAAGUGAGCAGGUCUGGUGGUGAAGAAUGCGAAAGACGCACAAGUGGAGCAGCACCUGUGGUUUGGGAGCAUCGCCAUCCAUCUUUCUGCACACACGGAAUUAUGUGUGUGUCGUGUGUGUGCGUGAGGGAGAUGUGUGAGAAGAGAAGAAAAAGAGGGAUGGAGGGAGGACAUUGUGGAGUGUAUGAGUAAUAGGAGAGACAGUGGAAGCAUAUGUGACCCAUGACACUGAAAAGCCUGCAGUCUGGUUUAAACUGGCCUCUGAUCUGGUUCUGUGGACCCUAGAGGGCCUCGGGGACUGCGCCUUACAUAUCAGCGGUGACCCUCUGGCUUUUGAACAGCGUUUAAUACAAUGAAAAGUCACAAACGGCUUAAGAUGGAAGUUAGACUGUGGCAAAUUGGAAGCAAAAAUAGUGAAAUUAUGAAAGGAAAUGGAAAAGGAAAGCGAUCCUUUAUCCAAGCAAACACUCCUCCCCGUAAAAAGAAAUGUAAUAGAACUUGGACCUCCACAAUCCCAGCCCAAACAGGGAGCCUCUUAUCGUCCGCCAUCUCUCCCACAGCUAAUAUUUCACUUCAGCUCCCGGGCCCACAGAAUGAGAGACGUUUCCAUUUCAUGUCAGUCAUUUCCAGGCCUGUGUGUUACCUGUGCGGUGAUAAGUGUUUGACUGACUGGGAGUGUCGUUAGUCACUGUCCGGUGUGGAGUGACAGCAGCAGAUUGACGCGGAUGAUGAGAGGAGGAGAGGCCCGAUGUGUGUUCAGGGACAACGGGGGGAAAAGCUCGGCUGUUGUGUUGGGGGAGGGAAAAAAACAUUUACACACAUAUAAUGGCAAACAUAAAGCCAUACACAAACACAUACCAAACACAACAAGGUGGAUUAUAGAGGACAUAAGGGAUCAUGCUGUUUUAAUUUGAUGAAAUGUGUUUACCUCCUUUUACAUUUGACAGGUGUGGAAUCUUUGUUGUUGCAGGUGUGUGACUACCAAUGAUUCAUAAUAGGGGUAAGAAAAGGUUUAAAGAUUAGAGACAUUAAAAACAAAGUUAAUUUAAAGUGAAAUAUUGAUUAUAAAUUUGUUAAAAAAUGAAUUUACAUGGCAUUACAAUUUAACUGGAAUUACCGUGAGCGUUUUUAAGUUAUUCCCUUGACUUUUUAGGGUGUAGGAGCCAAAUUUGUGACCUAAUAAGUAAAGUAAAAUGUAAAUAUGCGAUCAUCCCCCAUGCAAAUAAAGGAUUCUUGAUAGAUUAGAUAGAGACCAUAUAACUCAUAUUUGAAGUCUCUUAUAAGUCGAAAGACUGCAGCUUGAGACUGACCCUCUUAAAUGUUUUUACACCCCUGUUUGUGUCAUAAAUACCAGUUUUCUUCGCAUUAAUGAUGAACUUAAAAAACAUAUUACUGUCACUGUAUAAACUGUCAUUUCUAAGGACUUAAAUAUGUAUUUUGAAACCAGAUUUCAGCUUAAAUUAGGCACCACUCUGUCUGUUUGAGGCUCAUGCAUUGCUAGUACAACAUUCAAUAUAGUGUUGUUGUUAUAAAAGCCCUGAGUUCCCCCUUUUUGACCCUAAAACAUGUGAAUUAUGUGUUGAGGAUUAAUUCAUAUAUUUUAAUUUAUAGGUACUUAUUUGACUUUUCUCUGCUCACACUCUUUUAGCAGUUUCACAAGUUGGACAACUAGUUUUUAAUUUUAUUUUUCCAUUUUUAAAGAUUUCCAAUCCAGUUUUUAUUUAUUUUUUGCCAUAAUAUAUACACUACAUAGAUUAUAAAUCUUAAACCAUACAGAAAAGAAGCUAUUUUCUUGUUGACACUUAUCAUUGCCUAUCAUUGUGAAUGAGCCUUGUUGUUAGAGGCAAAAUACACACCAUGAAAACCAUAAAAAUGAAGUUUUCUGAACUGUUUCAGCCGCUCCAAGAAAAAAAAUAUCAACAUCCUUAGAUUACGUUCACUUUACUCUCACUGCUGUGAAACCUGACAAAACAAGCAGGAAGUAAUACAGCACUGCGAGGCCAAGAAGUUCAAUCUCUGGACAUCUCUGGAACAUGUUUUCACCCUCAUGGUCUCUACCUCUCCCCUUUUUACCUCCUCUACCAAAAGCGAGGCAGCGAGCCGUGAGAUGGAUGGGCUGAGCGUUGCGAGGUUUCUCCAAAAGCGAAGCGAGUCUGACUGCUGCUCUACCUGAGGAGCGAAAACAAAAGAGCCAUCUCUACCUGUAGGACUGUGGGAGUCGAGGCUUUGAUCUGGACCAGAAAGAGAGAGUAGUUUGAUGAAAUAUUGAUGCUUUUUUUUAACUGUGUCCUGUGGGAGCUCAGUCUGCUCUCAGGAUGUGUGCGCUGAUGUACAAUACCACUCCGUGCUUUGCUAGAUGAGAAUGGACUCGACUAUGGAGUCUUAUCGGUCUUAAUGGGCCUAAUAAUGACCCCCCACUCUGGGCUCGGGAGUGGUCAGGGACUUCUUUUUGUGCUGAUCAAAAGAAGAAGUACUUUUAAUCAGUCAACACCUAUUGAAAAAUACACGUACAGGUGAUGUGCGCCUGACAGCAUCUUUACACAAUCUUGACAGCAAAGGCUGUACCUGACUUAAAUCUUUAUUUGGUGUUCGGUGGGUUAGCUUUUGCUCUUGAAACAAAAGGUGAAACAGCGUUUAAAGCGCAUGUUUUGUAUCUUAACAUGUGCAUUUGUAAUUAAAAACCGCGAUGCUGAAAAUUCUCUGUAAUUGUAUUAGAUUAAAUGACAUAAAAAUCAAAGCAGAGUACUUUUAAUGCCACUUAAAAAUCAAGAACUGACGCACAGUUUUGAGAAGACUCUCAAACACAGAGAUCCUCUUUCAGCUCAGGAUUCAAAAAUGAAGGCCUUGUUAAGACCAUGUAAUAUGAUUUCAACUGAGAGCCCGGAAACUUUGAUUUGAGUUUGUACGAGUGACCCACAUUCUUCCAGCAACAAUGAUCUCCAUGCGAGAGAAGAGAAAAAUCUGAAUAUUGAUAAUUGCCUUGAGUGCUUUUGUCUGAAAGUUUGGAGGCUGACACACUCAAAUUAAGACCGGAAAAAGAGUGUGAAAGACAAGGGAGGGGGGGAUUUAUCACUCUCCCAUGCUCAUACACAGAGAUAGACAGGGGGCAUAAUGACUUCUGUGGAGAACCAUUAUUUCAACUUAAAGGAAAAGGAGAAAGAGGCAGAGAAACGGGUCGAACGGGGGGGAGGAAAGAGGCAUCUUAGGAGGAGCCAGGGGCAGGAGAUAGUCUGGGAAAGGUCUCGCGUUAAAGUGGAAUUAACAUGCCUUUCCAUUGGAGUCCAUUAGAUAAUCAUAUUCAUACCACACAAGGCUCCAAACCCUCUCUGUUUCAUUAUUCCCUUUUAAUCCAGCCUGAUAAGGGGGUGCAGGCGACGUGGUUUUAUUAUG
rnacentral:lncRNA from 1 species